rnacentral:lncRNA from 1 species
CUCCUGGAUAAAGAUCUCAACUAGAGUGCUUCAAGUUGGAAACAAUUUUCAACUGGAGAAAUGUGCCCAGUCUGUUGGUGAAGAGAAAGCACAGGAGAGGUCAGAUUAUUUAAUAUAGAAUAAAGUAAGCAUCAGCUAACCAGCCUCUAAAAGAUGAACCUACUUGAGAGAGGAGAGAACAUCAAAGGCUGCAAUAUGCUGAGCUUUCUAAGAAAACUGCUUUGAAGGGAACAGGUUUUGCUUGGAUGGUUCAACCCCUAGACAGUCCCCUACUCCCUCUCCCAGUGCAGAACAACACGUGGAUUGCUCAGUACAACUUUUUCAUCACAUCCUCCUGUUCACUGAAGAAUUAUGGAAAUAUUCUCUGAGCUGCUUUCCUCCCUGCCCAACGAGUCAUCUCUGUGUGAAAGGCCAAGCUUAUAAAUCCUGCUGUCCCCUUGACAUAUCUUGGCAAGAUAAAUGCAAUGUGGUAAUCAAAUCAGGUGCUGGGCUCCGAGGCCCCAGAUGGAGGGUCAUGAGUCAGUCAUCAUUCCUUGGUCACUCCUGAUGGCAACAAGCAAUGAAAACCCAUCUUCAAACCUCUUCAGAGGCACCAGCUGUUCCCUUUACCUCUUCUAGUGUGAAGGAUCCACAUCAGCCAAGUAUGAUAAUCUCCUCCUGCUGCUCUGUCA